rnacentral:rRNA from 1 species
CCUACGGGAGGCAGCAGUGAGGAAUAUUGGUCAAUGGGCGUAAGCCUGAACCAGCCAAGUCGCGUGAGGGAUGAAGGUUCUAUGGAUCGUAAACCUCUUUUAUAAGGGGAUAAGGUGUGGGGCGUGUACUCUUUUGUAUGUACCUUAAGAAUAAGGAUCGGCUAACUCCGUGCCAGCAGCCGCGGGAAUACGGAGGAUCCGAGCGUUAUCCGGAUUUGUUGGGUUUAAAGGGUUCGUAGGCGGCCUUUUAAGUCAGCGGUGAAAGUCAGUGGCUCAACCAUAGCAUUGCCGUUGAAACUGGGGGGCUUGAGUCUGUUAGAGGCAGGCGGAAUGCGUGGUGUAGCGGUGAAAUGCUUAGAUAUCACGCAGAACCCCGAUUGCGAAGGCAGCCUGCCAGGCCAUGACUGACGCUGAUGCACGAAAGCGUGGGGAUCAAACAGGAUUAGAUACCCUAGUAGUC